AUAACAAGGUGGAGGGUUUGACGAUUGAAAUAUUUCCUAUACAUGGUAAUCGUGGAUGCUUCUUAUUAGAUAAUACUACCACAGAAUUUAAGUUUACACCUGAUAUAGGGUAUCAGAGUGGUUAUUCAUAUCAAGUAUUUAUAUAUACACGCCCUGUUUCAAAUAGAACUAAACGUAUUCCUACAAAGUUCAAUGAUUGCGCAGCUAAUAUUUGUAA
rnacentral:lncRNA from 1 species